rnacentral:pre_miRNA from 1 species
GCCAAUCGUGGAAGGCCGACCACAGCGACGCUUUCGGUCGCACACGUCGCCAAUUGGCGACGUGAGCGAUCGAAAGCGUCGCAGUGGUCGGCCUGCCACAAUGGG